AUUGAACGCUGGCGGCAGGCCUAACACAUGCAAGUCGAGCGGCAGCGACAACAUUGAAUCUUCGGAGGAUUUGUUGGGCGGCGAGCGGCGGACGGGUGAGUAAUGCCUAGGAAAUUGCCCUGAUGUGGGGGAUAACCAUUGGAAACGAUGGCUAAUACCGCAUAACGCCUACGGGCCAAAGAGGGGGACCUUCGGGCCUCUCGCGUCAGGAUAUGCCUAGGUGGGAUUAGCUAGUUGGUGAGGUAAUGGCUCACCAAGGCGACGAUCCCUAGCUGGUCUGAGAGGACGAUCAGCCACACUGGAACUGAGACACGGUCCAGACUCCUACGGGAGCAGCAGUAGGGAAUCUUGGUCAAUGGGCGAAAGCCUGAACCAGCGAUGCCGCGUGUGUGAAGAAGGCCCUAGGGUUGUAAAGCACUUUCAGCAGUGAAGAAACCCCGGUGGUUAAUACCUGCCGGUCUUGACGUUAACUGCAGAAGAAGCACCGGCUAACUCC
rnacentral:rRNA from 1 species